rnacentral:rRNA from 1 species
UACGGAGGGUGCAAACGUUGCUCGGAAUCAUUGGGCGUAAAGCGCAUGUAGGCGGCUUGUUAAGUCGGGUGUGAAAGCCCCCGGCUCAACCGGGCGGAUGCGGGUGAAACCGCGCGACUGGAGGGCGGUAGAGGGUGGUGGAAUUCCCGGUGUAGUGGUGAAAUGCGUAGAUAUCGGGAGGAACACCCGUAGCGAAGGCGGCCACCUGGGCCGGCCCUGACGCUGAGGCGCGAAGGCCAGGGGAGCGAA